UUAUUGUGUGCGACACCUUUUCCAUAUUUUUCGAAACCUUCAAAUAACCACCCGUUCUCUUCCAGGACGCGUUGUUUGCCAACGCCCAUAUAUGGUGAAAACUUGGGAUUUCUCUCUACAGGUGUUGCACUUGACCACGCAGCACCAAUGGAACUUGCAGUUGCACUGCCAGACUCGCGUGUAGUGACGCGUGUCGAAACCGCGGCCGCAGCACAUCACGUUGCAGCCGUCGCCGUGAGCCGCCGACGUCCCGUUGCAGAGUCGGCCCCGCGUCCCCGUGCUCCCCGUGGCCUUGUCCUCCUCGCAGUAAUUGGGCGAGCGCUCCAGCGAAGAGUUGAGAGGUCACGUUUUGUUCUCUCCGGGCCCCGGAUGUUGAGUUCGUCAGCGUUUCUUGCGCCCUCGUGUGGUGGCAGGGGGAAAACACAUCUGCAGCUUCAAAACCAGCCUUGAAAAAGAUGCACUCC